rfam:Pseudomassariella vexata strain CBS 129021 BCR38scaffold_10, whole genome shotgun sequence.
GGCCGAGUGGUGUAGUGGUUAUCACGUGGCAUUCACACUGCCAAGGUCGGGAGUUCAAUCCUCCCCUUGGUCA